CUUGUACAACUGUCGGCCAUGAUGCCGCAUAGCAUAUUUAAUAAUCAUUUAUUAUGAUGCUCUUGUCAAGAUGUGCUGCACAUCAUUAUUUUAUUACCUACAAUGACAGUGUUUCUCAUAUCAGAUGAACGCUUUGUCUUUCAUUUCAUUUAGUUAAUCUGUAAUGUUGUCUGUAAUUAUUGAUUUGAAUGAAUCCAUAUUGUCUGUUGUGUUCGAUGUCACUGACACCAUUGAAUUGAGCUACUCACCAUGUUGUACUGACAACAGUGCUUCUCCGGGAUCGGGUCGCGGCGGCAGCAGCUUCAGCAGGUCACCCCAAACAAUUGCUCAGCACCAUCCUCGAAAAUGAAACAGGGGACUGGACCUGCAUAUGGAAGAACAAUGAUGACUGGUUACUUGGCCUCAAAAGGAAUCAGAGCAUCAGAGGGGCGUGUUGGUCGUGCCCUCAGACAUAUUGACCAGCCAUACCCCGCAGAUCGGUGUAAUAGAUCAAGGAACUUAAAUCCAGUGCCAUAUAGUGCAGAGUAUGUGGGUCACAAAUUGCACCCCGACCAAAAUGAGAAACUGCUGAUGUUUGGGGUGACCCAUGGCCACUCCACCAUGCCAGUGAAAAACAACCUGACCAUUUAUCAAGAGGUUUACUGAAUCAUUCAGUAGAAAGGAAGUGGCCAGAAGUAAACAACAGGCUAAACUAUCCACUGAAAGGGGCGCUCGUCCACCCAGUCGACCAGGAGGAGCUCAACCUUGACGACAACAGGACACGAUGUUGCGUGUCCACUCUGACCUGGACGUGACCGGAUGGUGCAGUCUUGGAAUGCACACAGGAUCCAAGGCAAGGGUAUCCCAAACCAACUGGCUCUGGGUGGAUGCCCAAAGAAACUGCCUGCAGAUCUUUCGCCAGAGGCUGCAGAGGCUGCAGACUGCUACAACCUUGGAGUGGGGUCCGCUCUGACACGAGUGUCAAUGUUUGGGAGAAACCCAUUUUCAGCAGUGGAGCACCAGGCAGCAGCUGAGAUGAAUUUGCACUGCACUAUUCAGACAUUUCUGAACUCUUUGACCGUGCAGUCAAUAAUGACCCAAGGCACUUCCAAGGUGGGAUAAAGGACCUAAUAGACAUUGUAAGAAGACAGGUCGCUGGACUGUCUGCAGCACUGGCAUUGCUAAAGUCCAUCCCGUAAAAUUGACUGAUCAAUCAAUAGCAGUCAAAAACAAUGUGUCCUAUACUAUAUAUAUAACUAUAUAGUUAUAUAUAUAUAACUACAUUUUCUGUGUUCAAAAUAAAUUCAAAACAGUU